AGAGUUUGAUCCUGGCUCAGAUUGAACGCUGGGGGCAUGCCUUACACAUGCAAGUCGAACGGCAGCGCGGGGGCAACCCUGGUGGCGAGUGGCGAACGGGUGAGUAACAUAUCGGAACAUACCCUAGAGUGGGGGAUAACGUAGCGAAAGUUACGCUAAUACCGCAUACGAUCUAAGGAUGAAAGUGGGGGAUCUUCGGACCUCAUGCUCAUGGAGUGGCCGAUAUCUGAUUAGCUAGUUGGUGAGGUAAAGGCUCACCAAGGCGACGAUCAGUAGCUGGUUUGAGAGAACGACCAGCCACACUGGAACUGAGACACGGUCCAGACUCCUACGGGAGGCAGCAGUGGGGAAUUUUGGACAAUGGGGGCAACCCUGAUCCAGCAAUGCCGCGUGAGUGAAGAAGGCCUUCGGGUUGUAAAGCUCUUUUGUCAGGGAAGAAACGGUGAGUUCUAAUACAGCUUGCUAAUGACGGUACCUGAAGAAUAAGCACCGGCUAACUACGUGCCAGCAGCCGCGGUAAUACGUAGGGUGCAAGCGUUAAUCGGAAUUACUGGGCGUAAAGCGUGCGCAGGCGGUUAUAUAAGUCAGAUGUGAAAUCCCUGGGCUCAACCUAGGAACUGCAUUUGAGACUGUAUGGCUAGAGUGUGUCAGAGGGGGGGUAGAAUUCCACGUGUAGCAGUGAAAUGCGUAGAGAUGUGGAGGAAUACCGAUGGCGAAGGCAGCCCCCUGGGAUAACACUGACGCUCAUGCACGAAAGCGUGGGGAGCAAACAGGAUUAGAUACCCUGGUAGUCCACGCCC
rnacentral:rRNA from 1 species